GGAUUUCGGCUUCGUAGGUGACCUGCGGAGGUCAUUC
rnacentral:rRNA from 1 species